rnacentral:rRNA from 1 species
UUAGUAUUCUAGUGGGCAUGCCUGUUCGAGCGUCAU